UCUUGCCUUAGCCUCCCAAGUAGCUGGGACUACAGGUGUGCACCACCAAGCUUGACUAGUUUUUUUCUUGUUUUCAUUUUUUUUGUUUGUUUGUUUGUUUUGAGACAGUCUUAUUUUGUUGCCCUCAGUAGAGUACUGUGGUGGCAUAGCUCACAGCAACCUCAGACUCCUGGAUUUAAGCGAUUCUCUUGCCUCAACCUCCUGAGUGGCUCUGGCUGGUAUGGAACUCCUGACCUCAGGCAGUCCGGCUGCUCGGCCUCACAGAGUGCUAGAUUACAGGUGUGAGCCACUUUGUACUAGCCACAGAGUGCUAGAUUAUAGGUGUGAGCCUAGCUUUUUCUAUUUUUGGUAAAGAUGGGUCUCCCUUUUGCUCACGCUGGUCUUAAACUCCUGAGCUUAAGCAAUCCACCUGCAUUGGCCUCUCAGCACAAAAAAAAGGUUUUGAUGCUUUAUAAGCUGAACUGUUUAGAACUCCAGUGGUUCGGCUGCUCCAGGGGUCAGAAUGUCAUACCCAGGCUAUCCUCCUACAGGCUACCCACCUUUCCCUGGAUAUCCUCCUGCAGGUCAGGAGUCAUCUUUUCCCUCUCCAGGCCAGUAUCCUUAUCCUAGUGGCUUUCCUCCAAUGGGAGGAGGUGCUUACCCACAAAUGCCAAAUAGUGUCUACCCAGGAGCUGGAGGCUAACCUGCACCUGGAGGUUAUCCAGCCCCUGGAGGCUAUCCUGGUGCCCCACAGCCAGGGGGAGCACUAUCCUAUCCUGGAGUUCCUCCAGGCCAAGGAUUUGGAGUCCCUCCAGGUGGAGCAGGCUUUUCUAGCUAUCCACAGCCACCUUCACAGUCUUAUGGUGGUGGUCCAACACAGGUUCUACUACCUGAUGGCUUUCCUGGAGGACAAGCUCCUUACCCUAGUCAGCCUGCUGCGAUGACUCAGGGCACUCAAGGAACAGUCAGACCAGCUGCCGAGUUUGGUGCUAUGAGAGAUGCAGAAAUUCUCCGUAGAGCAAUGAAUGGUUUUGGGACAGACGAGCAAGCAGUUGUGGAUGUUGUGGCCAACCGUUCCAGUGAUCAGAGGCAAAAAAUUAAAGCAGCUUUUAAGAUCAUGUAUGGCAAGGAUUUAAUGAAAGAUCUCAAAUCAGAGUUAAGUGGAAAUAUGGAAGACUUCCUGUUCAUGCCAUCUACAUAUUAUGAUGCCUGGAGUUUACGGAACGCAAUGCUGGGAGCAGGAACUCAGGAACAUGUAUAGAUUGAGAUUUUGUGCACAAGAACAAAUCGGGAAAUCCAAGAAAUCGUCAGAUGUUAUCAAUCAGAGUUUGGACGAGACCUUGAAAAAGACAUUAGGUCAGAUACAUCAGGGCAUUUUGAUUUACUUGUAUCUAUGUGCCAGGGAAACCGUGAUGAGAACCAGAGUGUAAACCACCAUAUGGCUCAGGAAUGCUCAGCAACUCUAUCAAGAUGGUGAAGGAAGACUAGGGACAGAUGAAUCUUGCUUUAACAUGAUCCUUGCCACAAGAAGCUUUCCUCAGCUGAAAGCUACCAUGGAGGCUUAUUCUAGAAUGGCUAACCGAGAUUUGUUAAGCAGUGUGGGCCGUGAAUUUUCCGGAUAUGUUGAGAGUGGUUUGAAGGCCAGCUUGCAGUGUGCCCUGAACUGCCCUGCUUUCUUUGCUGAGAGGCUCUACUAUUCCAUGAAAGGUGCUGCCACAGAUGACUCCACCCUGAUCAGGAUUGUGGUCACUUGAAGUGAGAUUGAUGUUGUGCAGAUAAAACAGAUGUUUACUCAGAUGUAUCAGAAGACUCUGGGCACAAUGAUUUCAAGCCACACAAGCAGAGAUUACCUACGGCUUCUUUUGGCCAUUGUGGGCUAGUAGGAAGGAUGUUUUUUUUCUUUUCUUUUUUUUUUUUUUUUUUUUUCUCACAUGAAUGAAGCUAUUCAAAGCAGUGACUGACCUGCAUGCAGCAGUAUCAGCCAUCACCUAACUGAAAAAAGCUUUUUACUAAGGACUGUGUCAGGGUUAUGUGCUUGGUUUGCACAUG